UACGAAGGGGGCUAGCGUUGUUCGGAAUCACUGGGCGUAAAGGGCGCGUAGGCGGCCGAUCAAGUCGGGCGUGAAAUCCCACGGCUCAACCGUGGAAGUGCGCUCGAAACUGGAUGGCUAGAGUCCUGGAGAGGAAGGUGGAAUGCUUGGUGUAGAGGUGAAAUUCGUAGAUAUCAAGCGGAACACCGGUGGCGAAGGCGGCAUCCUGGACCGGUAUUGACGCUGAGGCGCGAAAGCUAGGGGAGCAAACGGG
rnacentral:rRNA from 1 species